CCUACACUCCUUUGCAGGCCAAAGAUCAGUUUCCAGGACAAGCCAACCGAAGCCCUAGCAACGGAGGCUUUCUCUUCAGGCAGCUCAGCACGCUGGUGUUAGUUCACAGUCCCCGGGGGUGACAACCGGGUCACGCUGACCUGGCUAGGCUCCGGCUGGAGGACAGAGAGCUCACAGGGAACGCCAAGUUCAAAGCCGGCGUGUUGAAACCCAGCCAUCUGACCCGUCCUCCAGACAGAGGGCCACUGCCAAGAGCGUCCCCCUCGGCCUCCUCCGGGAGUCUGCUGCAGGGUGUGCGGCCAGCCUCCUCCCAAGCAGGCUGCUGCCUGGGGCACCGGGGACCGAGGAACCGAGGUGUGUCCUGUGGCCCAGCUUCCGGGCCUGUUACUGACCACCUCUGCCAGGACCGAAGGGUGAGCUGUGCCAGGUCUCCGCAGGGCGCAGGCAGAGGCCCCAGGAGCGCGUGAGCUGGAAGGACAGAACGGGAUUCUUCGUUGGAGGACUGCGUCCAUGCCGAGCCGAGGGUUUUCUGACGCUGGCCCACACCAGUGCGAACAGAACAACGUUUCCGUCCCGCCUGAGUCAUUUGGACCCAGCGUGAGUUUGUCAGCCAGGGCCCAGACUGACAGCUGACCUUUAGAGUUUUCCUGCACGGACUGCGAAGGCGCAGACUUCCUCCCGCCAGGCAGCUGGCUCUGGGGCUCUCUCUGUUGUGCCCUCUACCUGGGCAUCGCCGUGACAGCCAGAGUGUGCAGACGGCGGGGAGGGGAGGGGGCUUGUGGUAAUCCCGGGCAUCUGGCCCAACACAGAACCCAGCAGAGAGACCAUGGUUUCCCGGACCCUGUGGUCUAGGGGCAGGAGAGGAGGAAGCAUUUCAUCAAUCGCCCUCUGGGCCCAGCACAGCGGUGCCCAGGGCUCGGAAGCAUGGGCUCUGGGCUACCCUGGCUACGGGGCUUACCUGUGCUGGUUACCUUUGUACAAGUGGCCUACCCUCUCUGAGACACAGUUUCUUCAAGCAUGAAAUGGAGAAUAAUAGCACCUGCUGAGUGUCACAGGAAGCCACCAGCCAAGGAGAGGCAGCCCAGGGCACAUGCAGAGCCAGGAUGUUGUGUCUCUGGCCAAGUCUGACGGAAGGCCACUGUUUCACAGUAAUGCCCAGGUAUCCACCUUGGUCUCUGGGCCAGUGUGAGCCCCUGCUGCCUGCCACAGUGGCCUGGUGGCCACACCUCCUGCAGAUCACCUUCUCCUGCAGGGACCUCGGCAGAACAAACCCCAGCACCCAUCGCUCUCUCAGACCCGAGCAGGACGGCCAGCUUCCUGGUCCUGGGUUUCCACGGGGGACGCGCUGGUUGGGACCAGCAGUCCAUCUCCUCCAGGGUCAUCAGAACCACAGCUGUGACCGCAGUGACCUGAGAGGGCUGGACCGACAUCACACAGGGGCAGCAGAGGACGUGGGGCUCAGGAUGGUCGUGUCCAAGGCCACACUGUGGCCUGUCGGUGCUUCUGGGUCCUCGGGACCUGACCCUGGCCAGCCCAGCUGAGCCGGCCCUGCACUGGGUCCUACGGGGCGAGCACUUGUCACAUGAGUGUCUGGGCCCGAGCCCAGCCCUUGACCUGCUUCCUGAACCGGGAGACGGGCGGCAGUCUCCCCCAAGGUCAGAGAGCCAGUGGGGGACAGCAGAGUGGCCUGACACUUCCAAGCCCCACGGCCAGCUCUGGGUGACCAGGCUUCAUAGCCUGCCCUGUUCCUGAGUGUCGUCGAUCGCUCUGGCAGCCCACUUAGGCCAGCUCCGGGCAGCAGCUCUGCCCACGCCGCUAUGUGGAGCUCUCUGAGGGUUCGGUGGAGGCCCUGCUCCUGUGGCCACCCCACUCCUUCCGUCUUGCCCCCCACUCUAGGAGUGCCGCGAGGCCCACGCAGGCCAGUGAGUGUGGCAAGGGACCAUCACAGGGCAGGGAGCAGGCAAGGCUGGGCGUAGGCCGACCCCCUGGGGGCAGCCUGGACUGAGUCCUGCAGGGACCUCGGGAAAGAAUGGGGUGCGCUCAGCACGGCCAGACGCAGCAUGUGUCCUGGCUCUCUGUCACCGGCUCAGGGCUGUCCCUAGAAGGACUGACAUCUCCAGGGGCCGCCGGCCCUCCAUGACUGAGGAAAGCAGGCUUCGGCUGUCUGAGGACGGCCCUGGGAGAGGGCCGCAGGUGCAGGGGCGGGCCUGGGAAGGGCCGGAGGGGUCAGGCACAGCAGGACUUGGAGAGGGACUACUUCACAGUGAUUUAUUCAGCCAGUGUUUCCUGAGCAGCGACUGCCCACAUGGCCCUGCUCCAGAGGACACAGGACGAGUGCCGGCCACCACACUCUGGUGGGGUAGGGUUCUGAGCUCUCCAUCUGUGAGCAGACCUUCACACACACACUGCAGUGUGGGUGGACAGUGGGGGCACCUCUCAGAGAUGGCGGAGAAGCCCCGGGCCUCCCUCGAGUCUCAGCAGGGUAUGGCUGGAUUCAGCAGGGCUUUCUUGUUGUUGUUUUUUUUUUUUUUGCAAGGAAAGGGACUCUCUGUUCAUUUUUGAGAGUCACCGAUGGCUCCUCUCACCUUUUUCCAUACAGUCUGGGUGAGGCCAUGGUCCAGCCUUCGUCCCCCCCCCCCCCCCCCCCCCCCCCCCCCCCGCCCUCUGAGCCGCCUCCUUCUCCUUCCUGUGCAGGGAGGUUCGGUUCCCAGGAGUAGUGACAGACAAGACGGGAACCGAGCCAGGUGACCGACCACUCAGCCCUUAAACCUUUCCUGCCUCUGGGCUGAGGUCACUUAGCCGGAGGCCACCCUUUUCUGUUGCUGGGAUUUGGGUGACAGUCUGGUAACCCUCUGUGGCCUGGGGUCUGGUGACUGCUCCAACCCAUUGUCCCUCACUCCAGCCCUGCAACAGCCCUCUCCUGGUAAGGGCAGGGGGCCUGGAGGUCAGUCCUGAGGAGGGUCCAGGCCUGUUCCCGCCUCCAGGCCACCCACGUGGGGACCGCGGGAGUCUGCCUCUCGGUUCAGGCAUCACCACCCCCGGCGGCACAGCCACCUCUUUGUGUCCCACUCCCUGUCCCAGCCAUGGACCAAGGGCCCCCUGGAGCAAAACAGGGCUCAGGGAUAAGGGUCUAUGCCACCUCCUGAGGGUAACUCCGGCCUCUGCCGCAGGAAAUCCAGAGACCGGGACUUACCGCAGGUCUGUAGUGGGUGCAGGUUCCAAGUGGCGUGUCCUAGAUCCCCGCUGACCCCUCCACCCGUGAAGAGGGUCCAGCUUGGGGCCUCAUAACGACACAUCCUGAGCAGAGACCUUGGGUGACCUGUGUAAAUGGUGCACAUUCCGAGAAUCUGGCAAACACACCUGCAGUAGCCCCUGUCUCGGGCUCCACGCUCCUCUCCACCCACAGGGUCCAGCCCCACUCCUUGGUCUCUCCCCAUGGGCUCCUGUCCGCCCCUCUCUCUCAGCCUGACCAUGUCUGGCUGCUGCCUUGUCCUGGCCCUGACCCGCACAGGGACCCUUCCUCCCCGACACCCCGUCUGCCCAGCCCCAUGCCAAGGCUGGGUGCAAUCUUGUUCUUCACCCUUCACUGCUCCAUCCCAGGGGCUCUGCCCUGUACCAAGAACAGCGUGGCAACCAUCCGUAGGGCAUGCUGGCCCCAACAGCUGGGCGGUCACCUCCCGGUCCCCGGAACCCCACGACACGGGUGCAGUACUUGUGCUCAUUUUCCAGGCCGGGGAACUGAGAACAAAUGGAAUGGCCACUAAUGUGGCCCUGGGCUCAGCUAAUUUCAGGGGCAGGGUCUCAGCCUCAGGGCCAGGAGGCCUGGUUCUGCAGCCCUUGAGCAGGACAGCCUAAGUAGUGGAGAUGGAGUGGGCGGGAGCUCAGGAUGCAGACUCGGGCCACUGUCCUGCAGUUCCCAUUCUGAAGGUCAAGCGUGGGCCCAGCAAUCGGCCUCUUGAUGCACUGUGCAGCGGGUCAGUUACAAACACUGGCUUAGCCUGGAUCCUGGGAUGUAUCUGGAUGUGGUGGGGCAGGAAGGCCAGCUGUCCCCCUGCCUGGGAGCAGAGAGGGCAGACUGUCAGCUGUUGGGAGAAGUGGAGGGAUGCUUCACCUUCAGGAAGAGCAGCCAGAGGGGAUCCCCGGGAACGCAGAGCGCUCCCGGGCAGACGCAGAGCAGAGGGCUCCGGGGCAGGGUCCGAAUGCCCGAAUUCAAAUCAGCUCCUCCUCCCGGGGGUGGACCAGGUGGCCUGCACAUGCUUCCUCAACUCCGGGGACUUUGGUUUUUCAAGCUGUGUCCUGGGGACGGUGACCCCCUGUUCUAAGUACCUGCCUGGCCCCCAGGAAGUACGUGGUAUCCACCAACCACAGAUCUUACCUCUGGGGCCGGUGGGUCCAAGAUUAGAGAAUUCAGUCAGCAGGGCCGUGUCUGAAGGUUUUGUAGAUCAGCCAAAAAGUUUGCACUUGAUGCAGAAAAACCCCCCGGGGACUGGAAGAGUCUUCAGGAAGCCAGGGGUCUGAUGGAGAGAGCGCAGGAGUCUCCAACCAGCCUCAAGCCCCAGGGACACUGCUAAUGACUGAAGACGUGGGGGGUGUUUCAGCCAUGGUGUGGGCGUGUCCCCAGAAUGUAGGGGAUGGACACCGGGGUGCACCAACAUCCCCCACUGCCCAGGAUGACCAGAGCUGGGUUCAUGUACUGCAAAGAAAAGGCAUUGACCGCUUCCCAUCUGCUGGGCGAGGCCAGGUUUCCCAUAUGUCAUAAGAUGGACUGGGAAGGGUCGGGUGAUUUCUCCUUCCACGCUGGACCUCCCGGGACUCUUAUUUUCCUGUUGACAUUGGCCCUGGGGCCUGGACCCUUCGGCACCAGCUGUGUGGUCCUGAGGCCGGCCCUCUGAGCUCUUCUUUACAGGUCACCCUGGCCAGCGGGGAGCUUGCGAAGACAGGCCCCAGGGACGGCCAGUCCUAGCACUGUCCCUUGUCAGCUCUAGACCGGAGCUACUGCCUUUGACUCUCUGGGCCCCUUUUCUCCCUCUGUAGUGUGUCCUGCCUCCAUGGUAGUGUGGAAGUGAGGGUCUGAAGUCCCCUCCACGUGGCCUGGCCCCAUGGGACCUGAGGCAAGAGAAGCACCUGAGCGUGUGUGUCAUCCACCAGGGGUAGCUGCGGACGGCUGUCUCCAGAGCCUGUGACAACCCUAUCCCUCAGAGGGAAGGCACGGUCCCUGGAACACUCACCUGAGCACGUGGGGUACACGGCACCUUUGUGCAGGGUCUGGGGCUGACCGCAGACUGCCCAGUCCACUGUGACGCUUCAUUAGUCACUGGCCUUAACUGCCCCUGGGUCACAGAAACUAGAAGAGUCCCUCAGAGAGGCAGCAUGGCCCGGGGGCUGGAGCGCCUGGGUUCCCAGUCCUGUCCAGGCAGGAGCCGGCCACGGGGACACAGGCCAAGUGCAUGUCUCUCUGCCUUGGGUCCUAGGGACAUGCAGAUAGCAACAGGCAGCUCAAAGGGCUGCUUGGACUCUGCAUCAAGGUAUGUAAUACCUGGAACAGCACCGACGUGGGUGCCCGGCACAGGGUGGGUGCUGGGGACGGGGCCUGGCCUCGCUUCCCACACUUGACGUAGCAGGCGCAACCGCCACCAGCCUCUGUCAAGCAGGACGGGCUCAGAUAGUCAGCACUAGCAUCACGGGAGCUCCUCACCCCGGCCUGCCCGAGUCAGAACCCUGCAUUGACUGGCCACGUGCCCUCAGUUGGAAAAGUCGACCUCUCCAGGCCGUGGACUUUUUAUCCUCCAAAGGGGGUUCUACUAUCGCCCACUGGCUCCUCUGCCCUCAGGCUGGCAGGAUGGCUGACCUUCUGACCAUUUCUGGACUGUACCAAGCAUUUUUGCUCUUUGCCGCCCCAGGGCUAUUGUGUAUGCUGUCGUGUCUGCUUGGAAUGCUGUCCCUUGGUGCACAGGAUGACCCUGCCAUGCAAGGUCGUCAGAGAGGCCAGCCCUGUCACAUGUAGCUCCUGUACUCUGUGUCCCUGUGCAUUAUUUAUUUCUGGGUGCCAGUCACAGGCUACAAUUGUCUCGUUUUUUAUUUGACUUCACAUCUGUCUUUAGCUCACGCCACAUAAGCUCCCAGAGGGCAGGAGCGGGGUCUUUGUGUAAGUCCAGGAGGAGUGAAGUGGCACAUCCGGGAAGUCACAUGUUAUAGGGCACUUGCCACUGCGCUGGGCAGGGUCGAAGUCCCUCUAACACAAACGGCAUUACGAAAUUAUUGUCGUAAAACGGGCCUCUGCACAGCCCUGGGCAUGGUUUGACCUGCACCUUGGCCUUCACAAAGGCCUCCUGAGUGAAGCCUUGCCCACCCCACCAGGGUGCCCUCCCCAUGCGGGUGGCCCGCGGGUCCCAUCCCAGAGCAGGGCCUCGCCAGGAAGCUGCCUCCUGAAAAUAUGGGAAUCGCCGGCGUGUGCUACCUCCCAGCCCCAAGCCAUCAAACCUCCAAAACUGUUUUCUGCGUUUUCCCGCCGCGCAGCCUACAUUUGUUAACUUUUCAAACAGUAAACGCCACCUGCACAGCGCCUUUAAUAUUUAAUGUAACUAUGAAUUGUUUUGAAAAUAAAGGCAGCCAUGUGGAAACGCA
rnacentral:lncRNA from 1 species